UAGGGAAUCUUCCACAAUGGACGCAAGUCUGAUGGAGCAACGCCGCGUGAGUGAAGAAGGCUUUCGGGUCGUAAAACUCUGUUAUUGAAGAAGAGCGUGUGUGACAGUAACUGGUCAUGCAGUGACGGUAUUCAAUCAGAAAGUCACGGCUAACUACGUGCCAGCAGCCGCGGUAAUACGUAGGUGGCAAGCGUUGUCCGGAUUUAUUGGGCGUAAAGCGAGUGCAGGCGGUCUUUUAAGUCUGAUGUGAAAGCCUUCGGCUUAACCGAAGAAGGGCAUCGGAAACUGGGAGACUUGAGUGCAGAAGAGGAGAGUGGAACUCCAUGUGUAGCGGUGAAAUGCGUAGAUAUAUGGAAGAACACCAGUGGCGAAGGCGGCUCUCU
rnacentral:rRNA from 1 species